GGGACGGUAGCUCAACGGUUAGAGUGCUGCACUGUGAAUGCGGUGAUAGCGGGUUCGAUUCCCCUCCGUCCCCCCA
rnacentral:tRNA from 1 species